AGCGAACGCUGGCGGCAGGCCUAACACAUGCAAGUCGAACGAAGUCUUCGGACUUAGUGGCGGACGGGUGAGUAACACGUGGGAACGUGCCUUUAGGUUCGGAAUAACUCAGGGAAACUUGUGCUAAUACCGAAUGUGCCCUUCGGGGGAAAGAUUUAUCGCCUUUAGAGCGGCCCGCGUCUGAUUAGCUAGUUGGUGAGGUAAUGGCUCACCAAGGCUACGAUCAGUAGCUGGUCUGAGAGGAUGACCAGCCACAUUGGGACUGAGACACGGCCCAAACUCCUACGGGAGGCAGCAGUGGGGAAUCUUGCGCAAUGGGCGAAAGCCUGACGCAGCCAUGCCGCGUGGAUGAUGAAGGUCUUAGGAUUGUAAAAUCCUUUCACCGGUGAAGAUAAUGACUGUAGCCGGAGAAGAAGCCCCGGCUAACUUCGUGCCAGCCGCCGCGGUAAAAC
rnacentral:rRNA from 1 species